UACGAAGGGGGCUAGCGUUGCUCGGAAUCACUGGGCGUAAAGGGUGCGUAGGCGGGUCUUUAAGUCAGGGGUGAAAUCCUGGAGCUCAACUCCAGAACUGCCUUUGAUACUGAGGAUCUUGAGUUCGGGAGAGGUGAGUGGAACUGCGAGUGUAGAGGUGAAAUUCGUAGAUAUUCGCAAGAACACCAGUGGCGAAGGCGGCUUACUGGUCCAUUACUGACGCUGAGGUGCGAAAGCGUGGGGAGCAAACAGG
rnacentral:rRNA from 1 species